UUGCAGAGCCUGGUUUCCAUGAAAAGCUAUCAACUAUCCCAGCAAGCAGUUGGUCAAAAGCACACUUUUCAGGUAGGGCCAAAUGUGACAUAUUGUUGAAUAAUAUAUGUGAAGUGUUCAAUAGGCAGUUGAUAGGAGCCAGAGACAAACCUGUAAUCACAUGUUUAGAGUUCAUAAGAGUGUACAUGACCAAAAGAAUUGUGAAUGUAAAGAAGGUUCAAGCUAAAUCUCAUGGUCCAUUAACUCCUCAUGCUCAAGAAGUGUUUAAUAAGAUCAAAGAAGAAGCCUCACAACUCAAUGUUUUAAUGGUGGAUGCAGAACAGUACCAGGUGAAUAGCUCAAGAUCCCAGUGUGUUGUUAAUAUGAAGAACAGAACAUGCACCUGCAGAAAGUGGGAUUUAACUGGCAUGCCAUGUAAACAUGCAGUG
rnacentral:lncRNA from 1 species